rnacentral:rRNA from 2 species
UUCUGCCCUAUCAACUUUCGAUGGUAGGAUAGUGGCCUACCAUGGUAUCAACGGGUAACGGGGAAUUAGGGUUCUAUUCCGGAGAGGGAGCCUGAGAAACGGCUACCACAUCCAAGGAAGGCAGCAGGCGCGCAAAUUACCCAAUCCCGACACGGGGAGGUAGUGACAAUAAAUACUGAUACAGGGCUCUUUUGGGUCUUGUAAUUGGAAUGAGUACAAUUUAAAUACCUUAACGAGGAACAAUUGGAGGGCAAGUCUGGUGCCAGCAGCCGCGGUAAUUCCAGCUCCAAUAGCGUAUAUUAAAGUUGUUGCAGUUAAAAAGCUCGUAGUUGAACCUUGGGCCUGGCUGGCCGGUCCGCCUCACCGCGUGUACUGGUCCGGCCGGGCCUUUCCUUCUGGGGAACCGCAUGCCCUUCACUGGGCGUGUGUGGGAACCAGGACUUUUACUUUGAAAAAAUUAGAGUGUUCAAAGCAGGCCUUUGCUCGAAUACAUUAGCAUGGAAUAAUAGAAUAGGACGUGUGGUUCUAUUUUGUUGGUUUCUAGGACCGCCGUAAUGAUUAAUAGGGAUAGUCGGGGGCAUCUGUAUUCAAUUGUCAGAGGUGAAAUUCUUGGAUUUAUUGAAGACAAACUACUGCGAAAGCAUUUGCCAAGGAUGUUUUCAUUAAUCAGUGAACGAAAGUUAGGGGAUCGAAGACGAUCAGAUACCGUCGUAGUCUUAACCAUAAACUAUGCCGACUAGGGAUCGGGGGGUGUUAUCAUUUUGACCUCCUCGGCACCUUACGAGAAAUCAAAGUCU